UGUGGGAGCUGGCUUGCCUGCGAUGCAGGCGGCUCGGUGUCUCUGGUUGACCGAGGUGAUGCCAUCGCAGGCAAGCCAGCUCCCACA
rnacentral:antisense_RNA from 1 species